UACGUAGGGUGCAAGCGUUAAUCGGAAUUACUGGGCGUAAAGCGUGCGCAGGCGGUUAUUUAAGUCUGGUGUUUAAACCUUGGGCUCAACCUGGGGUCGCACUGGAAACUGGGUAACUUGAGUACGGAAGAGGAAAGUGGAAUUCCACGUGUAGCGGUGAAAUGCGUAGAGAUGUGGAGGAACACCAGUGGCGAAGGCGACUUUCUGGGCUGUAACUGACGCUGAGGCGCGAAAGCGUGGGGAGCAAACAGG
rnacentral:rRNA from 1 species